rnacentral:lncRNA from 1 species
AUCUUCUUCCUGCCCUCGCCGUGGCGGGCGACGGUUUCUCGCGCCGUGGCUGGCUCGGCCGGCCGGGGCACCGCGCCGGGCUCCAUGCAGCCGGGCUGCGCGGUCCCGCAGAGCGGGCGCCUCCGGGGCUCGAGUCGGGGACCCGGCAGGAGCGGGCCGGGGAUGGCGGCGGCGGGCGGCGGGUCGGCCGUGGAGCCCCGGAGAGGCGGCCGCCACCACCGCUGCCCGCAGUCUGCGAGGUGUCCGGCGGUCCGCUCAGGGCCUCUUUUGCAGACUCGGUGCCCGGAGUGCGCCGGCGCCGCCCGCCAGGUCUUGGCACUGCUGGCGCGGCCGCGGCGGCGGGGGCCCGGCUCCAGAUCACCGACCCCCACGAGCGCCGGCCCUGCCUGCCCGCUAUUUUGGUUCCAUCUCUUCUGCAUAUUUAUGCUUGCCUGUUACAUUCCCUGGCCUCUGAGUGUCCUUUGGCAGUUUCCAAAGCAUUUGGGCAAGAAGGAGCUUGGGCAGCUUCACAACAGGUUUAUUGGGCACUUCCUAGCACCAGGCACUGCAAUAAGAAAUGGAGGUUAAACCAUGAAGAAACAUGGCUCUAGCCCUUAGGGAGCUCCCGGUCCUGCAGUCAAAACUUCUUUGAGACGAUGCUGUCGGCCUUGGCCAAUCGGAGAAUCGAAUCAUCUGACUCACCCAUCCUAUCGCCCCGCAGAUAGCAUAAGUUUUAAACUGGCCAUUAAACCUGCCCGUGACCUUGUCAGCCUCGGCCACGUUCAUCUGGAUGGAUGCGUGGUCCUUGGCACCGAUGAUGCGGUUGCUAGCGGAGCAUUUCCGCGGAACUUACAGGUCCACGAACUCGCCGGCGUUGUUCUGCAUUUCGAGGCUCCGCCUGCUGCCACCACACCGCGCACGCGAGAGAAAGCCGAGGGUUUGUCCUCUUAUGCCAAGUUAGGGCAGCCCUCAAAGCAGAUCUCGAAGGGAAGACGUCUACCGAGAGCGGAUUUUGAUGUAUCACUCCAUGAGACUGGUGCCUUUCUCUAGCCUGGAGAAUUCCAAGGGUGCAAA